rnacentral:rRNA from 1 species
UACGUAGGGUGCGAGCGUUAAUCGGAAUACUGGGCGUAAGGCGUGCGCAGGCGGUGAGCUGUGUCCGAUGUGAAAGCCCCGGGCUUAACCUGGGAAUGGCAUUGGAAACUGGCUCGCUGGAGUGUGGCAGAGGGGGUGGAAUUCCGCGUGUAGCAGUGAAAUGCGUAGAGAUGCGGAGGAACACCGAUGGCGAAGGCAGCCCCUGGGCUAACACUGACGCUCAGGCACGAAAGCGUGGGGAGCAAACAGG